rnacentral:rRNA from 1 species
UUAAAUUGAAGAGUUUGAUCAUGGCUCAGAUUGAACGCUGGCGGCAGGCCUAACACAUGCAAGUCGAACGGUAACAGGAAACAGCUUGCUGUUUCGCUGACGAGUGGCGGACGGGUGAGUAAUGUCUGGGAAACUGCCUGAUGGAGGGGGAUAACUACUGGAAACGGUAGCUAAUACCGCAUAACGUCGCAAGACCAAAGAGGGGGACCUUCGGGCCUCUUGCCAUCGGAUGUGCCCAGAUGGGAUUAGCUAGUAGGUGGGGUAACGGCUCACCUAGGCGACGAUCCCUAGCUGGUCUGAGAGGAUGACCAGCCACACUGGAACUGAGACACGGUCCAGACUCCUACGGGAGGCAGCAGUGGGGAAUAUUGCACAAUGGGCGCAAGCCUGAUGCAGCCAUGCCGCGUGUAUGAAGAAGGCCUUCGGGUUGUAAAGUACUUUCAGCGGGGAGGAAGGGAGUAAAGUUAAUA